AUUAAAGUUGUUGCGGUUAAAAAGCUCGUAGUCGAAUUUGUGUCCCGCGCCGCCGGUUCAUCGUACGCGGUGUUAACUGGCGUGCCGCGGGACGUCCUGCCGGUGGGCCUAAGUCCGCAAGGGCGUCGGCCCGACCCAAUCCCGCCGCGGUGCUCUUCACUGAGUGUCGAGGUGGGCCGGCACGUUUACUUUGAACAAAUUAGAGUGCUUAAAGCAGGCUAAAACUUCGCCUGAAUACUGUGUGCAUGGAAUAAUGGAAUAGGACCUCGGUUCUAUUUUGUUGGUUUUCGGAACCCCGAGGUAAUGAUUAAUAGGAACGGAUGGGGGCAUUCGUAUUGCGACGUUAGAGGUGAAAUUCUUGGAUCGUCGCAAGACGGACAGAAGCGAAAGCAUU
rnacentral:rRNA from 1 species